rnacentral:rRNA from 1 species
UCAGUUUCGCGUUAUGCGGAUUCGCCAAUUUUUCAUCAAUUGCGAUUAUGCUUGGUACGCUUGGCGGUUUAGCGCCCAGCCGCCGUUCAGAUAUCGCACGUCUCGGCCUGAAGGCU